UCUUAGGGACUGGAAUUCAGACGCGUGCUGGGGCGUCUGGUCCACAGAAAGACCUGCACCACUGUCACCUUCACACAGGUUAACUUGGAAGACAAAGGGGCUCUGGCUGAGCUGGUGGAAGCCAUCAGAACCAAUGACAAUGACAGAUAUGAUGAGA